rnacentral:rRNA from 1 species
CAAUAGCGUAUAUUAAAGUUGUUGCAGUUAAAAAGCUCGUAGUUGAAUUUUGGGCCCGGAUGGGCGGUCCGCUUCACGGCGUGUACUGUCCGGCUGGGCCUUUCCUCUUGGUGAUCUGUCGUACUUGUGCGGCAGUGGAACCAGGACCUUUACUUUGAAGAAAUUAGAGUGUUCAAAGCAGGCUAGACGCCCGAAUAUAUUAGCAUGGAAUAAUAAAAUAGGACGUGCGGUUCUAUUUUGUUGGUUUUUGGAAUCGCCGUAAUGAUUAAUAGGGACGGUCGGGGGCAUUAGUACUCACAUGCUAGAGGUGAAAUUCUUGGAUUUUGUGAAGACUAACUUCUGCGAAAGCAUUUGCCAAGGACGUUUUCAUUAAC